AUGUCACUCAGCAGUUCUUCUAGCUGUUUCAGAACUGCACGGGGAGAAGAGGCGGUGGUGAGCCAUGGUGAUCGAGACUGAGACCCAUCUCACCGUAAGUGGACCAAGCCCCCCUAUUACUUCUCAGUCACCAGGAUAUGCCGAAGAAAGAUGCCAGUUCUAGAGGGAGGCCCAGCACCUUCCCCACAGCACCUUAUAUAUCCACCUGCUUCCGCCCUCUCUCCACCUAAGUGCUUCUCAAACCCAGAAAAAGGGGCCAGCGGCCCACUGACAACCAAAUGUGGGGAGAGAUGGAGUCUUUCAGCUUGGGAUAUAUGGUUACAUGGGUAUGGAUGGGAAGGCUGGGGGGUGGAGGGGUGUCCUGGAGAUAAAGUCCUUCCUUUCAGUUUUAGAGUCCUUUUAAACCACAGUCAGCUUCUCCAAACACCCACCUUUGUCCUCCACCACAAUGGGAGUCAGGUCAACUGCUGACUUCUCCUCCACCUUCUCCACAUCAGCAGUACCUGGGGAGACAGAGGGCACUGAGGGCGUACCCAAAGAACAGUGUUCUCUGUUCUACGGUAUAUGCAGCUGGAACAGUCCAAAACCUAAAUCUCGAUGAUUAAAGUCAUAAAAGAUGUCUUGAGAGAGAAAAAGCCCACAAUUUAAAAUCCAGGUUGCAGGAUUCUUGAGAGUGUGUCGCUUCCUCCAGCCUUCUCUCCCGCCUGGCUGAAGUCCCAGAGCCACUAGUUCACAAGGAUCUAGAGUGCUUGAAAAUGUGGAUACCUUUGGGAUCUGUCUCCAUAGGUUCCUCUGUUCUCUCCUUCACCUCUGCCUUUUCCACUUUCUCCUCUCCCUCAGGAGGUUCAACGAGGACCUUCUCAUCCUCUGAGGCAGGGGCUGGGGCCUGUGUACACUUCAAAGGAAAAAAGACAGACAUUGAAGAAAGAUGGGUCAGGACCCAAGAGGCAGAGUGGACUUACCCACCUGCCUUUGGUGUGGCAUCCAGUCACCCUCAUAUCUUACCUCAGCAGUGGCCUCAGGGGCUGUAGAUUUAACCUCCUUUUCUCCUUCUCCACUCUCUUCUUCUUUGACGCUAUUUUCCUCUAUUUUUAUCCCAUCCUCUGCAGACCAAUAAUAGAUACUAAUUAGGAAGGUCCCGGAUCAGAGAGAAGGUCAUGCCUUCUCAUCUUAAGUUGUCCUCUCGUGCCUUUAAGAGCCAGCCCAGUUCUUAGGACGGCCCUCCUAAACUGAGAGGGAGAUUGCUGUGUGUCCUGCCAGGCUCCCCUGUUAGAACUGAGCACAGAGGAGCAGAAAAAGCACAGGCCAGGACAAGAGGAGGAGGACAGAAAGCGAUGGUCCAGGCAGACUUACCAGCAGGUGGGGCAGGUGCAGGAGUAUUGGGCUGUGUGUCCCCAGGAGUGGAGGGUGUAGGCGUCUUUGGGGAAGGUGACCCUGGCUGGGACAUCUUCUUGUUCUCCUCUACUUCAGCAAGUUCGGGCAUGCUCCAGCGCCCGUUAACAUGUUCAAACUCCUGAACCUGCAGCGAUGGGACAAGAGGUUGAAGCCUCCACUCCUUUUCUGCAGUUUCCCCCAGAGACCCUGAACAGCGGAGAGAGGCUCAGGGCUCACCUUCUUGCGAAUCAAGGACAUGACACCAAUCCUAGUAAGGACAUGCUGGCGAGACAAGCCUUCCCGGGGGACACCGUCAGCAAAGGUCUCGGCCCCAUCUGCUCCCGGCUCACAUAAAUGCCGCAUAAAGAGAGAGACGUAAGCCCUGUGGUAAAGAGGUAAAGAAGUGGUUAAACAGCAGUCAUGCCAACUCCUGCAGCAGAUCCCUCCCACCUGCAGUCAGGCAUCAGCCCAGAUGGCAAACAUGGCUCUGUCUGCGCUAAGCCCACCGUCGCACAGAAAGCUGGUCUCCCCAUCCCACACUCUGCCCCAGGUCCCCUUCCAGGGAAGCUAGGGACACAAACAACCCUAACACUUCACUGCCAACUUGAGCAGAGGAAACAGCCAGUUUCCCUGCACAGCCUGGACUAACACAGUGGAAUGACCAAGAUCACAAGCCCUCACUCUCCAUCAGUCAUUCCAGCUCUCAACUUACUUGAACUCUUUCUCUGACUUGCCACGCAGAUCCCUCACAAGCCACUGUGUGGUAAAAGCAUCCUGAGGUGGCAUCCCGUAUCGCAUAAUUGCAUUAAGAAAGGCUUUUCGCUGGCGAGCAUUAAAGCCAAGUACCUGGGGGAGGAAGAAACCUAGGUGAGAGGGAGCAGACUUCACUCCACCAAAGACCCAGUUAUCCACACUCACCCAACCUUCCCCAGCACCGUAUGCUACUUACUUCAAUAUUCCCACCAACACGGGCCAACAGAGGAGGCAAUGGUUUAUCUUUAUCAUUCCGCAGGCCCUUGCGGCUAGGCCUGCGGGGAGCUGCGGGAAGAAGAGGAUGCGUGAGUGACACUGGUAGGGAUGUCAAAGCAGGAUUGAAAGAGCCAGGGAAAAGGCACAGCCCUCACCUUCUGAACGUUCAUCAAAGUCUUCAUCACCUUCCUCUGAGGCCACUGAAUAAUCGGACUGGUUGUCGGACUGGUCGUCCUGCCAAUCUGGAGGGAGAGAGGGCAGAUGAGCGGGGCCCACUGCUCUAGUGGAACGGCCCAUGGGUGGGGGGCGGGGCCGGCCACACACACCUCGGUCCUCCUGGGAGCCAUCAUUGUAGUUGACCUGUUUACGGAUUCUUUUUCCUUUGCCCAGAUUUCGGGCCAGAUCUUCUUGCUGCUGCUCAUAAUGGUGCCGCAGCAAUUUCUCCCAGUAGUCAGGAUCCACACUUUCUUCCUGUUUUAUGAUUUCCCGUUCUACCUCCUCUUCCUCCUGGGACAGAGGGAGGGCCAGGACUCAGGGGUGCUGAAGUCAGCACCACCAGCUACCCCUGGUCCUCACAGUUCCCAUCCUGCUAGCUCCUUUCCAUGACUGGACCCUGAAAUACUUGGUGUGCCUGCCUGGUCCUGAGAACUUGAAUUUAAUUGACAAGAUGUGGUUCCUCUUAAUUAUAUAAAGAUUAGCAUUCAGCAUAACUAAAGAAAAAUAUGGGACCAAGCUGUUAUCACAAGAGAAGGAUGAAGAGACAUACGCUCUUUUAGCCCUUGUUACUGACACAUACACAGCCAGGAGACAGUGCCAUGUAGGAGACUCAGAGCCUCAGCAAGCAGAAUGGAGAAGCUUCUGAAACUCUGCAAAAGAUUUUCCCCAGAGAUAAAGUAGAAAGGUCAACACCCUUUCUGUUCUUCAUAAACUUCAUAAAAGUUUACCAACUUUGUGGGAAAAAAAUGACAUAUGCAUCCUCUUAUAUCCCAAUAAUGUUUAUGCUCCUUUGAAAGUCUUACAUUAUUUUCAGCUACUUCAGGACCCCUAAGUCCAAAUCCUUUGCAUUAGAUUUAAGCUGCUGCUAACAGCGUAAUACUAGAAACAACCUAAAUAUCCAUCGGUGUGGAACCUGAAUAAUUAUGGGAGGGGGAGGAGGCGAAAUGGGUGAAGAGAGUCAAAAGGAAUAAACUUCCAGUUAUAAGAUAAAUAAGUCAUGGUGAUAUUAUGUGCAGUGGUAAUACCACCACCCUGCAUAUCUGGAAGUUGCCAGAAGAGCAGCUCAUAAAGUUCUCAUCGUAAGAAAGUAAGUGUGUAACUAUGUAUGGCGACAGAUACUGAUUAAACUUGGUGGGAUGACUUGUGUCUCAAAGUACAUACAAAUACCAAAUCAUUAUGUCGCACACCUGACACUAAUGUAAUGGUAUGUGUCAAUUAUAUCUCAAUUUUCUUAAAGAAAUUAUGGUACUUCCAAACAAGGAUAUAAUAUGCAGCAAAAAAAGUGAGGGGGAGGGUAGGUGGGAGGAGAAGCUCUUUAUGUAUUGACCUGGAUGAAAUCUUUCAAGAUUUAUUAGGUGUAAAGAAAGACUAACAACUAUAUGCCAUUCUGGAAAAGAAAACUAUGGAGGUAAUAAAAAGAUCACUGGUUGCCAGGAGUUUGGGGGGAGGGGAGAUGAAUACACAGAGAAGGAAGUUUUUUAGGGCAGUGAAAAUACUUCAUGUAACAUUAUAACGAUGAACAUGUCAUUAAACUUUUGUCCAAACGUGUAGAAUGUGCAAAACUAUUCACUUCAUUAGUAUGAACCCUAAGGUGAACUAUGGACUUUGGUGAUUAUGUUGUGUCAAUGUAGUUCAUCCUUGGUUAAAAAAAAGUACCACUCUGGUGACUGUUGUUGAUAAUGGCUGUGCGUGUCUGUGGAGAGAGAACAGAUACGACAUUCCUCUCCCUUUCUGUCAGUUUUGUUGGAAACCUAAAACUGCUCAAAAAAAGUCUUAAAAUUGAAUAAAAAAGAUUAGGUGGAUGUGAGGAAGGUAAGAGAACAUUAUGUAUAAGAAACUACUUUCCUUGGAGUUCUAGAUUUGCAGAUACUAACUAAUAUACAUAAAAUAGAUAAACAAGUUUAUACUGUACAGCACAGGGAAUGAUACUCAGUAUCUUGUAGUAACUUAU